GUGGAAGACCAGAGCAGUUUAGAGCUGAGUGUUUCCUCCCCCCAGUUAGUUUGGCUCUGAUGUGGCCCCAGCGGGCAAGGCUCUGGGAAACUCUUUCUCCUGAGGAUGAAAAGCUGACGGCAUUUCCACUGAGCAGUUCACUAAAUUGAAGCCAAAAUGGAUUUGACUCAGCAUCCAGUCAGUCAAAGUCUCGGCUACAGAGACGCUGCCACAGAGUUCUGGGAUGGUGUCGGAGCGUGAGCGUCCACCCUCACUGCUGCAGGGGUCCAGUCAACACUGUCCUGAGGAGCACAGCAGACCUCAAUGAUCUUCUGGGCCUGAAAAGACAGGAUAGGCUUGUUUUUUGCCGAGGAAUGGUUGUCUGCAUGUUUUUGCUGAUAGACUUUCUGCUAAAUUUAUACUUAAUCCCUAAGUAUUCUCUGCAGUAUCCUCAGUCAGGGGUCAUAGGAAAGUCAUCUGUUCCUGGGGAAUUCAUUCAAGACACACUGAAAAGCAGGACCUCCCCCCUCCACCACCACCCAGGCUGGGACACCCUUGAAAUCCACAACCUUUGAAUGCCUCUUUAUUCUAGAUCCACUGAUAUCCUUGUGCUGUGUCUGUCCAUCAUUCAGAUACUGGGGAGUACUGUAACCAGAUGCAAGGCGGUACUUUCUAACAAGACUCUGGAUAGGCAUUCUAUUUACUGUACCACAGUACUGGUAGCUCUACCAAAACAGAGGGCCCUUUUACUCUUUCAAUAGUUCCUUUCUCUUGCACACACACACAUACCCGCACUCACUUACACAUCCUAGGAUACGAUAUGCAGCCUUGGCUGCAGUAGAAUAUUAAACCAUGUUUUCUGUCAAUGUGAUAUAAAGAAACAAGAGGCCUCAUGUAAUUUGGAUUUUUCCAGGUAUCUAAUUUCAAUCUAACGUACUGUUGUGAAACUAAGCCAGUAAGUAUAUAUAGCUGGUCCAUUUGGGGACUUGGUUUGCUAUCUUAAUCUGUGACAAUUUCUGGUUUCCAUUCCUUGUUCAGAGAUGAUAACAGUGUGAUUUACAGGUAUAACUAACAAAUGAGAUCAAUUAAAAUGUCUAAAAGUGGCACCUGUCUGAGGAUAGGGUUGCACUAAAUGAUUCCCACAGCUUCGUUUCCUGUAGCCCCCACCAUUUGCAAGACCUCUCCACAUGCAGAGUAACAAUGAUGGGUUGUUUCCUAAUGGAUGUGAACCAAGAAAGCAGGCCUUAUCCUGUGGCCUAGAUAUAUGAUGACUAUCACUGGCUGGAGACAACAGGUGUAGUUUUCAACUUCAUUUACACAAAUGAUCCCUGUGUUUCCUAGCAUUCACUAAUAUAGCUUCUUGAAUUGCCCAAUUUGUUACAAAUUUGUACUGUCAGCUGCCUUUGUGACUGAAUUGAAUUUGUAAUGAAAUAGAAGCUACCUUUCAUUUGUGUACAUUAUUGAAUACUUUGAUAAUUACAAGAAAAACUUGAUACUUUUCAAAGAUCUCAGGUCAUGGAGAAGAGGAAAAUGGUUACUUCUGAGGAUAAAAGUAUCAAUUGGAUAAAAAACCCCAGAACAUUUUUUUACAUUUGUUCUACUAAAGCUUUGUAAAUAAAUAAUGGGCACUUGAACAAACCUUAUGAUCUCAAAGCAUCAAUUAGAUAAUACGUAGAAAUUAUGAAGGCUCAGGCAUAUUUUUAUUAGUAGGUUUGAUUACAAUUGACAUGCUGAGUUGAACUUUGUAGAUGUGCUUUCAUUAAUGUGCUCAUUCUGUGACAAUGUGAGCCAGAUUAUAUAAUGAAAGGUGAAAAUUUCUGCUCUGUGGUUUAUCUCUGAAGCCAGAAAUUAUGUCUAUGAAAUAAAUUGAUAUUAUUAGUAUACUUAAAA